CGAAACGAAUCUGACUCCUGCCUCGGUGCAUUGCAUCGUGUCGGCGAGUGUAUUCGAUAAGUCAUAACGACUCUCGGCAACGGAUAUCUCGGCUCUCGCAUCGAUGAAGAACGUAGCAAAAUGCGAUACGUGGUGUGAAUUGCAGGAUCCCGUGAACCAUCGAGUUUUUGAACGCAAGUUGCGCCCGAAGCCUUUAGGCCGAGGGCACGUCUGCCUGGGCGUCACGCA
rnacentral:rRNA from 2 species